GGUAAAGCCAAUGAUUAGAGG
rnacentral:sRNA from 1 species